rnacentral:rRNA from 1 species
UACGUAGGGGGCAAGCGUUAUCCGGAUUUACUGGGUGUAAAGGGAGCGUAGACGGCGAUGCAAGCCAGAUGUGAAAGCCCGGGGCUCAACCCCGGGACUGCAUUUGGAACUGUAUAGCUAGAGUGUCGGAGAGGCAGGCGGAAUUCCUAGUGUAGCGGUGAAAUGCGUAGAUAUUAGGAGGAACACCAGCGGCGAAGGCGGCCUGCUGGACGAUGACUGACGUUGAGGCUCGAAAGCGUGGGGAGCAAACAGG